AUUUCGUCACACACCAAACCACAAGAGCUGAUGAGACUCCCAAGAUAAGUGAAGCA
rfam:Schistosoma rodhaini strain Burundi genome assembly, scaffold: SROB_scaffold0005511